UAAACAACCUGCCUUCAGGAUGGGGACAACAGACGGAAACGACUGCUAAUACCGAGUAAGUUCCAAGAGCCGCAUGGCCCAUGGAAGAAAAGGUGGCCUCUACCUGUAAGCUAUCGCCUGAAGAGGGGUUUGCGUCUGAUUAGCUGGUUGGAGGGGUAACGGCCCACCAAGGCGACAAUCAGUAGCCGGUCUGAGAGGAUGAACGGCCACACUGGAACUGAGACACGGUCCAG
rnacentral:rRNA from 1 species